GUGCUACCUUGGUUCACACAGUCUGGGGGAGAGCAUUCUUCUAAGUUACAGUGUCUCUUUCAUCAGCUUUUCAUCUUUGUAUUUUUAUAUUUAUAUUUUUUUUCCCUAAUGCUCUGCCCUAAAUGCCUUUUGAGGGAAAACGGCAAGCCUGUCUUUGUUAUAGAACAGCAGUGACUUGUUAAUUUUUACACUUCUUAAAAUUUAAAAUCUACAAGAUGUGUCUAUUUGAGGAAAGGCUAGAUUCAGUGCUGGGAGAAAGGUUUAACAAGCCAGCUGGGAUGGUGUGUGUGUGUGUGUGUGUGUGUGUGUGUGUGUGUGUGUGUGUGUGUGUGUGUGUUGAGCUGUUUCCUUCCUAUAAAAUUAUUUUCCUGGAUCCCUGUGGUGUGUUAAGAUCCUCUCCGACUGUGAAUCUCAGGUUGCAAAGGCAGCAUCCACUCCACAUAGCUCUUUCAGAAAGCCUGUGUGCUUGAUUCCUUGAUGCAUCAAGGCUUUUAGGCUGUGUGUCUGUGUUUGUGCCUGCUCAGUGCACAGAAGUCUGUGCUAAAGAGACCUUUCUGUCUGGCAGAGUGCCCUAUUCGUUUUGAGGUGACGGUGCCAUUCUGAAGAGGUGGCACGGGCUCUCCAUCCUCCCUGGGGAACAGAACGGGAUCAUUUAGCAGACACUGGGGUUUCUGGAAUUGUCCUUAUAGCAUGGAGACAGCAUGUGGUUCACGCCAAUCAGCAUUUGAACACUUCAGGGAGGGACCGGAGGUAUGUAUGACAGCCAUUCGAGAAGAAGGUCCCAAAUCCCUCUCUUAAAAUUUUGGGAUUGUGCUUGGGACUUAGCCCUGAUGCGGUCCUUGGUAAUUCACUCGCUGGUUUACCCACAUUGUAUGCUCCCCCUACCUGCCCCUCCCUUGCCAUAAGGUAAGUUGCGUUUCUAGUCAUUUAUAUAAUUAGCAUGGUUGAUCCUUAUUGCGUAGGAAUGUGCUGUGGAUGGUGCCUUUUCUUCCCAUUAUAACUUAUACUUUUGUGUUUCUCUGUUUUCUGAGCACAUGUUAAAAUGCAGCAUUUUGAAGCCUGACUUGACUAUUGUAGGUUUUUUCCCCCUUUCUUUUUUUCUUUCUGACUGAGUGCAUCCAAGGCUUUAAUAGUGUUUACAGCGGGGGGGGGGGGGCAGUUUUAUGUAGUGAACACUGCCUAAAAGCAGUAAGCAGUUCGCAGGCUAUCACUGCUGUUACCACUGCUGUUCUUUACAUAGCCUGCUCCAGAAAGAGGCUCUGCUAUGAGUGACAGCAGGGUGUGUGGAGGUCCACACUAUGCCUAUGCCAGCAUCACCUUCCCUUUUCCAUAAUUAAAGCGUAGUUUUGCUGAUCAGCAAGGGAGCUAGCUUCUGACACCUUCAAUCUUUUGAAGAGCCGGAGUUUCAACAGGAUUACCAUGGAGCGAGCCGAUUGGUUUGCUGUCCGAUAUUUAACAAAUACAAGUACCUUCAAGUUAUCCAAGAAUAAUUGGAAAUCAGGCUUGCCAUUUGGGGGACCCAUAACAAACCCAUUUUAGUUAUUGGGUAAGAAUAGCAAGUCGGGAGCUUAUGUUUUAAUGAUGAGAGGAUUUAGACGGCAGAGUCUUGGAAAAUGAGGGUGUGUUUGGUUUCUUUAGGCUGUGUAGGUACAAGGAUAUUAGUGUUUAUAUAUAAUAUCUGUAUUAUACCUACAGUAUAAUACAAGGAUAUUAGUGUUUAUAUAUAAUAUCUGUAUUAUACCGACAGUAUAAUACAAGGAUAUUAGUGUUUAUAUAUAAUAUCUGUAUUAUACCUACAGUAUGCUGGUGCCUGCCCAAGUGGCACUUUCAUCCACUUUGCCUCAGGAACGUGGGACUGCAGAGUCCCUUAGAGAUUUCAGAUACCACUGCUUCUUUGAAGUCAAACUUUUCUUCGCAAACUUAUCAAAGUGAUUACGCAUAAGUGAGCAUUUUUUUAAACACCUAAGUUGCAUAUUUUUAAUCUAGCAGUGAUAUCUUGUCACUCUCAUAGAUCCAUCUCACAGUGCUCUAGAUGCAGUGACUGACUGAGAGAUAUGGGGUGACUUUAUAACUGCACACAACCGCAAGUGAGGAAAUGCUGGAAACAUAUGUGAGCAGGAUUAAUUUAGGUCAUACCUAAGACAAGAAAUGGCUCCACCGUGUGUGUGUGUGUGUGUGUGUGUGUGUGUGUGUGUGUGUGUGUGUGUGUAAUUAUAUACAUAUAAUUGUUGUGGUUGGAUUUUUAUGAGCAUAAAACAGGUGCCAACAAUGCCCUGCUCCACACUUGUAAGGUCCCAACACUCCAGAGACUCAACUACAGUCAGAAAGAAUGACUGAAAGUUUAAAGCAACCCCCCUCCCCAAGAAACCCACUCAUAAAAGUUAUAGAAACGGAAAUGACCAACACUCUAGGACAGGACGUGUACAAUUUGUCAUUUGUUAAUUGGUUGUGUUGGACAUCUUUUCAUGAGUGUAUGCUACGUUCAUCUCAUUAUUGAAGUCCAGCUUGGAGGAUAAACCCAAACUGAACUGAACUGAGAUUCCUCACAGAGAACAUAUUAAUCUGCACUGAGCAUCUGAGCUACUUAGCGAAGCUCUGUGGAUGCGUUUCACAGAUCAUCAGACUAAAUAUUCAUCAUCAAACCUCGUGGCUGGGUUUCUCUAAUUGAAUUAUUUUACAAGAACAGCAGCGCGGUCCGUUUCCCUGAGUUUUAAGUGAGUAGUGUGAAAGUUGCCUUUACCAAUUUUUGUGCAGUCUUAAGUCUGGGAGGGAGAAAAGGGCAGGCACGAAUAAGAAGCAGGUAAAAACAACACUUUCAUCCCCUGGUUUUGACAAUGGUAAGGCCAAGAAAAGUUGGUUAUCUUAAGGUGAAGAAAAGUUAAGUUAUUUGAAGGCACAUGUGCCUGUAAUGUGUUGGUAUGUACAUGUGAGGGUAGGUCAAAAGAGUACGUCAGAUUCCCUGUACUGGAGUUACCAACAGUUGUGUGAUCCCCACGCUGUGCUGGGAACUGUGCUUUGGCCCUUUGCAGGAGAAGUAUGUGUUCUUAUCUGCUGGCUGAACUAUCCCUGCAGGCCUGAGGUUGGUAUCUUGUGUCUGUAGAGUGAUUUUUUUCUUUCUAAAUAGCUUGUUUUCUAUAGUAAAACUUUUUCCUUUAUUGCAUUAUGAUAAAUCUCAAACACAAAGAGCACAAAACUAGGAAUAGCCACGCACACCUCGGCAUCUAUAAAUACACUUUGCUGCCUUUGCUCCGCAUCUGCGUGCUUCGCCACCCCUCUACUCAUCCAUCAAUCGCUUUGCUUUUUGGAUGCAUUUCAAAGUGAGUUGCAGACAUCAAUACCCAUCCCUAAGGAUAUGCCUGCUGAGAUGCUUAGUUAGAUUCAAAGUUUACGGUUUUCGGUGCUCUCCUUUAAGCAAAUUUGGAUUGGAACAGAGAGUUUUUGAAAAGAAACUAUCACUGUUGCUGUUUCCACGUGGCACGAGGUACCUCUAGUCUGUUUAUAAACGGCUGGUGCAACUUCAGGAAUCUGUAGUUUUAAACUGGAGGCAAAAGUCCCUCAGGUUUUGAUAGAGGGAAACCCGUUAAAGUAGAAGCAUGUAGCCUUCCCCUAGUCUUAGUCUCCAUUUGCAGGCCAGACUUCACCACCAAGCCCUGGAACCGCUGGCAAAUGCACCACCAUUGUACCACACACCAGCAGUUCCCAGGCUGCUCUGGCUUCUGGGCCGAGUUCCUUCUUGUUUCCCGCAGGCCCAUGGGAAGGAACCCUCUUGAGCCCCAGGAGCCGCUCUGCUGGAACUCUUGCUGCUCUUCCAUAGACCCUCUCCACACCUGCCUUCCUGCUUUCUCUCAGCUUCUCUUUCCUGCUUCUGAUACAAGAGAACACAUUUGCUCAUUUCCCCCAAGUCACCCUGUUUUAUGAAUUUCAUGGAAAUGGUUACAAGAGAAAAAAAUGACAGACUCAGGAAUCCCAUGAUCUCUUAUUAAUUAGUUUUUAAAAAAAAUUAAUUAAAGCCUAAGUGACUGAGGAUUGUGUCUCAGGUUCUUAGUACUCAUUCAUUUCUUGGAUCUGUUCUUGUUCACUCCUCUGGGUCCUGAAGUAGCACCACACUUCUCUAAGAUCCAGUUCAAAAGACACGUACAGAAGCUCUCAUCUAUACUGUCAUCCAUCUGGUUCCUACAAACACUGUCCUGCACCAUGACUGGAAGAAGAAGCAUUUGGAGGUUUCCCCAAGAAACUAGUUGGAAACAUUGAUUUAGAAGAACUGUGAGCUUUGACUUAAGGAAGAGGCCACUACUAUCCAGUCAAGAACAUCAGCAGGCUCUGGUCCCUGCUUACAGUUCCCUAGAGGGUGAGCCUCAGAACACCUUACAGAGAACCAAGGAGCACUAAUUAUACCCUGAUCAGCUCAAUAGCAAGAGGAUCCAGAAGAUACCCAGGUCCUGGGGACACUAACAGAGAGCCUGAACCAUAGUCUGAUCAUCAGUAGAUGUGGCACAAGGACCCUCAGGAGAUGAACAGAUGACAGUGGAGAAUGUCAGUAAAUGGCGCACUCUAUGUCUUGGCCAUCAUUCAUUGUUUCCCAAAGGCUCCUGUGAGCCCUUGUCAGCUGCCAUGCAGUGUUUGAGGUAUAGGAGAAACAAGCUCAAACAGAAAGGAUAUAAAGAAACACUGUCCUCCUCGACCUGUGCUUUUAAAAAGCUAGCAGAUAAGAUGUAGUUUCAACCAACAUGUUACUUGGAGUCUUGUGUAGCCCAGGCUGACCUCAAUCUUGGUAUGUGACUGAGAAUAACCUUGAACUUCUGAUCUCCUGCUCCCACCUUCCACAGGUUGAGAUUACAAGCCUGUGCCACCAUACUCAGUUUAUGUGGCGACCGGGAUCAAAGUCAGAGCCUCCUGUAGGCACUCUGCCAACAUAGCUACUUGUACUGGAUGGUUUUGUGUGUCAGCUUGACACAAGUUAGAGUCACCAGAAGGAAAGGAGCCUCAGUUGAGAAAAAUGCCUCCAUGAGAUCUAGCUGUAGGGCAUUUUCUUAAUUAGCGAUUGAUAGUGGAAGGUCCAGCCCAUUAUGAGUGGGGCCAUCCCUUGGCUGGUGGUCCUGGGUUCUACAAGUAUGCAGGCUGAGCAAGCCUAGUGGAAGCCAGGAGAAGCCAUGGCCUCUGUAUCAGUUCCUGCCCCCAGGAUCCUGCCCUGUUUGAGUUCCUGUCUUGACUUUCUUCAAUGAUGAACAGCAAUAUGGAAGUGUAUGCCAAAUAAACCCUUUCCUCCCCAACUUGCUGUUCAGUCAUGGUGUCUCAUUGCAGCAACAGAAACCCUAACUAAGACACUGCUCGAAGAAAAAGCCUUUUCAUAAGUUAUACAUAACAGAAUAAGAACAGGGAAAUAUUGGUCGAGCUAGGGCCUGGAGCUAAAAGUCAAAAGGGUCUUCUCAAGAGCUCAGCUCUGGAGUAGGAAAACAACCUGAAUGGCUAUCAUCUCCCUCUCUCUGUCUCUGUCUCUGCCUCUCUGUCUCUGUCUCUAUCUCUCCCUAUCUCUCUCUUGUGUGUGUGUGUGUGUGUGUGUGUGUGUGUGUGUGUGUGUGUGUGUGUGUGUUUGUAGGGUAUGCCUGAUCAUAUGGUGUCUGUGAUUGGCUAAAACACAAAACAAAACAAAACCCCAAUACUAACUUAGGUGUUAGUUUGUCUACAUGCCAAGCUAGGAUAUAGCUUGCUAAAUCUGCACUCAAAUGUGAGACAGCCCCAGGCUUGCCUGUUUACUUUAUUCUAACACUACAUUAGAUGGUAAUGAGUGUUAAAAUAUAAAGCCGAGAAGAGAGGAAGAGUGUAGGGAGGCAGUCUGUGAGACGUUACUUGUUCAUCAUGAGGGGGCGGGAUCAGCGAGAGGUUCCCUUCAGAAUGUAGUGAAAACAUGAAAGCCGUAGAGGAGUAAUGCAGACAUAUGCAAAAUAGCCUUCCAGACAGAGCAGAAAACAUCCUUAAAGACUAUAGGCAGGAGCAUGCUGGCCACUGUGGAGGGACAGGGACAAGGCACGAGGCUGGCACUGAGUAGAAAAGAUGGAGGAGGACCAGAUGAGGUCCAGAAGGGGACAUAAAGUCUACCACAAAGCGCACUGUGACCAUUUCCCACUCUUUUUAACUGAGAUUUAAAAAACAAACAAACAAGGAAAGAACAAAAAACAAACAAACAAAAUAACAACAAAAAAUUGGGAUGCAUAUAAUGCCUAUGACUGUCAAAGGUAAAAAGAGAGAAUGGCUGACGGAAGGCCAGGCAACUGUCUUCCGAUGUAUAGAAAUGUUUCCCAGAGAGAAGUCAUUCAGCUAGAUUCAACAGCUUUCUGGGGAUCUUAGUCUCCUCAAUAAAUGAGUUUAGGAAUGGUCAAAAUGGGAAGCUCAAGGACAAUUUUAUUAGAGUUUAAAAGAAAAAUCCCAGGGCAGGCAAGCUGUAAAGCUCAGCAGCUGCCCAGAGGAGGAGAAAGGGAAAAAGGACAAAAAAGGCCAGGGCAGUUGAGUUGAGCCAGCAUGGAGGUCAGACACAGGGACAGGCAUCUGCACAGUCAGGAAGGACCCUUAUGCCAAAGUGUCAGCCAGUAAGCAUGUGUAGAAAAGAGGAGAGAACUAACAUUGUGCUUUCUGGCGUGGUGGAGAGAAGUGUGCAGAUGCAGGACGCUGCAAGGGCAGCUCAGGGAGAGACUGCCCUCACUGAGGUUUUGUAUCCGUUACUUUUCAAAUUCUGUUACUCUGAUCCAAUAGCUGAUGAAGCACCUUGAGGGAGGAUGGGUGGAUUUCUGGUUCACAGGUGGAUAUGGAUCAAUGAGAGGAAUGCUGGAGGGAGUCGGGGCUCGGAGUGUGGGAGUGGGAAGGAACGGAGAGUAGUGGGGACAGAGAUAUGAGACAGCAAGCAGGCCUGGCUAUAAACCUAUGUGACUCACUUCCUCCAGUCAGGCCCCUACGUCCCAAACAUUCCAUAUCCUCCCCAAACAGGCCCAGCAGCUGAGGGCAAAUGACGAAACACCUAAGCCGGUGGCUGAUAGUUCAUUCAAACCACAAAGGAUGAGGAAAUAUGGGGAAGCCGGGCACAGCAGAGGAAGAAAGCUCCCUUUGAACAAAUAGAUCUACAAAAUCUCUUCUGUUUGGGCACCUCCCACCUUUCCCUCCAGUAGACAGCAGUUAGCCCAAAUAGAAAGAACUUUCCUGAAUAGAGAGGAAUCUUCAAGUUACACUCCUGAUGGAGUCUGAAACUCAGAGGAGAGUCAUGUUGCCCAGUCAAAAAAAUAUCAAGGUUUUGUUGUUUGGUUGGGUGUUUUGUUUUCUGUUUGUUUUUUAUUUUGUUUUUUUAAUGGCAACAAGCUAGUUUAGACCCUUGCCUAAGUGCCCAUUCUUCCACCUUUCAACUUGAGUCACAAAGAAGACAACCCAGGGGGACAUACUUGAACAAAUGGCCAGAGGCCAUGAGGGGACUCCAGAAAGUAUAAAGGAGAGAGGGUGCUUGAGCAAGGACAUGCAGAGGUCUCAGGAGCAGCCAUAGAGAAGGCCUUGGUCAACAGAAUCAUUCUCCAGGUCUCUAAUCUAAGUUCUGAUGUAGAUUCCCACGGCCACCACUGAGUUUGUGAUUGCUACCCUUGCUGGGGUAGUAGAGCAAGGACUGGGGUCAGUCGGUUCUCUAUCCUUCCAUCCCAGUUGUCUUUUGAGAAUGGAUACAGUACAGCAAGCUUCAAGCUUAUUUAUUCUGUUUCUCACCCCUCUCCAUUAAGAAACAGUUCACCCCAAUCUCUCUCUCUCUCUCUCUCUCUCUCUCUCUCUCUCUCUCUCUCUCUCUAAUUUUUUUCUUAAAAAUCAACUUGGGACAUUGUAUGUCUGAUACAAAGCCAGACAGAUUGGACUGUUAACUGCUAUCUACAGUGAGACAGGAGACAGGAUAAAACUUGCCUCAGCUGAGGUAGCUCUUUGCCAUCGGGUUGAGAUUUGCAAGGAGAAAUUCCCAAGCCUUGAAUUUCCACUGGGGAUCCCCUGAGAAGUCGGAACUCGUCAGGUGCCACCCUUGCAAGUGAAGGGGGACUUGACCACCGAGAUGUCUCUAAUAAGUGACAAAAAUCAUCUGGGUAACAACUUGACAUUUUUCAUGUUCAAGUCUCUAUUGAAAUAGAAUGUACAAAUUAAUAGUCUCAGGAGACCCGUGUGGAAGAAAAUCAGAAUGGGGAUCACGAACCCCAUUAACUCACUCGUCUCAAGCCUCUAAUGAGAAGAUCACUGGGGAAUGGAGAUGGGGCAGGAUGUUCAGGGCAUGCAGAUGCUUUCAAAAGCAUCCAUUUUACAAAGACACAUAGCAUCCUCCUCCCCUGAGUUUGUCAGUCUUAAUGAACAAUAGCUGGUCCUGUCUGGAGAGGAAGCAAUAACUUCUCGAAAGAUGCUGUUUGCUUUGACGAGUUAUCUGCUUUUUGGUUUUUUUUGUCUCUAUAACCCUCCACAGGCCAUAAGUCAAACUCUAUUGUUCCUAUCAGAUCAGUUUCCCCAAAGGUGAAGAAUGCAGAAACAACUACACCUAAAAUUCAACACAAUCUGCUAAGACGUCCGUAAGAGUCAUUGAGAUUCUGGAGGCCUGGGCAACGGAGAUGGAGAAAAUGCUUAGGAAAAAAAAUCCACUUGCUGAUUAUUUUGUAAUAAAACUGUUUAUUCUGUCAGAAAGUGGGGAGAAUUAGAUGCAAACAGAUUUAUUUAAACCCAGUUGUACUACUGUGCAGUAGAUUGCUUUAACCCCAUUCCAUUAUUAAACACAUGACGCUGUUUCUAUGGAGAGAAGUGUCAGCCGAGCUGAGGUUGUCCAUAGGUACAGCACAGUGCUACGGUUUUACUGUUUAGAGCUUGAGAAGGUUAUAGUCUAUAGGACACAUUUGAAGUUUCCACACGCUAGAAAACCUAUCCAAUAAUAUAGUUGUAGAUCUGGGAAGAGUCAGAGGAACGGAGGGGAAUCAAAGCACAUUGUGGAAGUUCUCAACGAACUAAUGAAAACAAUAAAGCGUAACACAGAUUAGAAAUCAACAGAGAAAGUUGUACUAGUAACCAUCCUGGGUACACUGAGACAGGGACUUUAAUUUAUAGUUUAGCUCUAAUCUAUCCCGGCAACCUUGCUAAGCAGUAUUAAUAUUCUAAUGCUUAGAUGAUAAAGUAGAAACUUGUCAGAGUUUCCCAAGGUUAACUUAAGCUUCAGCCAGGAUUAACAGAAAAGUAUAGACUCAAUGGUAUGUCUUGGAGGUCCUGGGUUUAACUGCCAACACCAAAACAGAAUGAAAUAAUGUAGAAUCAAGGGUUGAAAUUGAAUCUUCACUUUUAACCUACCAAGAUUAUUAUCCAACAUUCACAGACCUCUUUACCCUCACGUGAACAUGGAAGGCUUGAUUUCCUUUAUGUUGCUGGAGCACCCAGGGCCACUCCAGGGACUUGAGCUAUACAAACUUCAGGGCCUGUUCUAAUGCACUUGCAGCUCCAGUAUGAGCUCCAGAGCAAGUUUUCAAGUUAGUUGAUUUAAAGAACCAGCAACAGCACCACUAAGUCUUACAGGUGCUUUGGUGUAACUCUUCUUAACCCACAUGACCAUAGAGAAAAGCAUUGCGAGAGGCCAGCGAGAUGCUUCAGCAGAUACAGAACAUGGGUUUGGUCUUCCAGACUCAGUGGAAGAAGGGAACUGACUCCUGCAAGCUGUCCUCCGUGACACACGUACACACUAAAUAAAUAUAAUAAAAAAACCAAAUACUACAGGCUGCAUUUUAAAAGUAAAACUGUGUGAGUUGACUGGGAGAGACAUGGAAGGCUUCUGUGAUAACCCCCACUGUCUUAGUCAGGUUUCUAUUCCUGCACAAACAUCAUGACCAAGAAGCAAGUUGGGGAGGAAAGGGUUUAUUCAGCUUACACUUCCACACUGCUGUUCAUUACCAAAGGAAGUCAGGACUGGAACUCAAGCAGGUCAGGAAGCAGGAGCUGAUGCAGAGGCCAUGGAGGGAUGUUUCUUACUGGCUUGCUUCCCCUGGCUUGCUCAGCUUGCUUUCUUAUAGAACCCAAGACCACCAACCCAGGGACGGCACCACCCACAAUGGGCUGGGUCCUCCCCCCUUGAUCACUCGUUGAGAAAAUGCCUUACAGCUGGGUCUCAUGGAGGCAUUUCCACAACUGAUAACUCCAGCUUGUGUCAAGGUGACACACAAAACUAGCCAGUACACCCACCCUACCCCACCACCCUUAAGAAAGUAACAACCUAGACAAGAAGUCACCAAAGAGAACUCUUAAAAAGUAUGGUGUGGAUGCUCAUAUAGCUCUCCACAAUCGGUGGCAUCUGGUGAAGGUGCGGGAGGGGAAGGACUCAAUUUUAUUUAAGGGGCAGGCAGGCCACUGAGAGUUUGACCAUGCUCCAGUGAGUAUAGAUAACACACCUCGGACUUUUUAAUUUUAAUUUUUACUUUUUUGGGGAGAGAUGUCAUAGGGGAGAGUAGACAUGGAAGGACUGGGAAGUGACUAUGAUCGGGGUGCAUGGUGUGAAACCCCCAGAGAAUUAAUAAAAAUACGAUGUUGAAGAAAAUUAAACUGGGUAUAUGUGUAUGCAUGAGCAGGCUUGCAUAAUCUUGAAUAUCAGCCUUCCCUUGUCUUGGAACUUUUCCACAUAGGCCAUUCUAGCUGUAAGCUUUUGGGGUCCUCCUGUCUCUGCCUCCCUAGCAUAGUCAUUCUAGGCACACAACACUGCUCAGAUUUUUAUCUGGGCUCUGGGGAUCUAAACUAGUCUGCCCAGUUAUGAGGCAAUCACUUUCAACAGUUGAGCUAUCGGCCAGCCUCACAGUUUUGCUUCUGUGUUUACAUGAUAAAUUAAAAGCAGGGUGAUGCACCAGAGGCUGGAAAUGCAUUGCAAUUUGGGACUCAGCCAUGCCUAAUUUCCUCAUGAAUCGAAUAGAAAGUGGGGCUAACUCUCAUAGACCAACCAUAAAUACUCUUAGCAUGAUAUCCCGGAAUGUCAUUGGUCAGUUUGUCAGUCCCAUCCCACACUUCCGUCUAUCAAUGUAAGCUGACAGGACCCUGCCAAUUAGAAUAAUUUGCUCUUUUGACUGAGGAAAUGCUAUUUGCACUUCCACAACCAUGUCUGGUUCCUCCUCCUGAACUACCCAGUGUCCUCUUACCUGAGGAUAUCUCUCCACAACAUCCAAGUCCCCUUGACAUCUGCGGUUAAGUUUGCCAGUCACUUCCUCUCUGUUCCUGCAGCACUUGGCUCUCUCUUGUAGUAUUUUCUCACUUUUUCUUGAAUUAUUAAUUAUCAUGUGUGCCAUGUUUUUGUUUUGUUUUGUUUUGAGUCUUGGGAUUAAACCCAGAGCCUCGCCCCCUGUACGCAAGAGAGAAGUGCUCUACCAGUGAGCUUGAUUUCCAGCCCUAGGCCACGUCUUAAUGAUCUCUGUUCCCAUCCCAGUCCUCAGAACAAUACUCCUGCAUGAUGAAUGAGAGAAGAAAUAGAGUGUCAUUGCGCAUGGAGACAGGAGUUUCUCCUUCUUUUCCAGACCUCGCUCUGUAAUUAGCUUAGCUGUCACAGAGACGUGUAUGCACAGCAAGCAAUUGGAAAGCGUGUUUUCCGGGGAGACUAUGACUCUUUACCACUUGAUAAAAUUCCUAGUAGCAUUCCAGUGAAGAAGUGAUUUUGAGAGAAGGCAUUCAGAUAGCAUUCCCAAGGACUGGGCUGUACAUUCCUUCCUUGAGACUGGCUUCCAGUGUGUAUGAACAUUUCAUUAAACACAAAUAUGCAUAAAUGUUCAUUAACUCUUCCAAAGCCAUGCAGCCAUUAGUAAAAUAAUAUGUCUACCACUGUAUUAAUUAAUGCAUGAUAUAGUAUACAAUAUGUGACUAUAUAGUUUUUAGGUGAAGAUUUUUAUAUUUUCCCUUUGCCAUCUAGGGAUUGGCCUUUUGCAAAAAUGUUUAAUAUCGGUUGAGCAGCUAUAGUUUCUAGAAGACAAAGGAAAGCAUGCCAUUCUCUCCCUAACCUAGUCCCUAAUGGUGGUUGAUCGCCUUUCUCUCCCCAGGUUCUGUUACAAGGGACCUCUACUUGAGAAUUAACUGUAGGAGUCUCUUAACUCUGUGCACUCCAUGUGGAAACACCACAGGUCACCCCUCCCCCCAGAUGCGUGGUGGAGCUGUAAGUCUGACAGUGUGAAAUGUGACAGAUUAUUGUAGAAUUCUUUGCUUGUUUUCCUUGUGACCUAACUCUCAUAAAAUUUAUUUCAUUUUUUUCUUCCAAGCUCCUAGAGCCUGUGGUCAUAUGAUUCAAAGUGGGGGAAAACAUUGUCAAAACAGUAUAAAGGAGUUGUCAUUUUUUAUGUUGUUUUUAUUACAUAAAAAGCUUCAAAGUGCAGACCUAAAUCUUGUUCAUCUGCAUCUAAGAGUAUCAAAUGUGUUGCUAUAAACUAGUAUUAGUAUUAUUGAAUAUUCUUGGCACUAUGAUUUUUAUUUACAUUUUAAAGAAAAAGCCAAUAAAUAUAAUACUAGAAUUUGUCUGGGAAA